AUUGAACGCUGGCGGCAGGCUUAACACAUGCAAGUCGAACGAGCCGCGGACGGGUGAGUAAUGUCUGGGAAACUGCCUGAUGGAGGGGGAUAACUACUGGAAACGGUAGCUAAUACCGCAUACCAUCAGAUGUGCCCAGAUGGGAUUAGCGAGUCGGUGGGGUAACGGCUCACCUAGGCGACGAUCCCUAGCUGGUCUGAGAGGAUGACGAGCGACACGGGAAAUGGGACACGGUCUAGAGUCCUACGGGAGGCAACAGUGGGGAAUAUGGCACAAUGGGCGCAAGCCUGAUGCAGCCAUGCCGCGUGUAUGAAGGAGGCCUUCGGGUUGUAAAGUACUUUCAGCGGGGAGGCGUUACCCGCAGAAGAAGCACCGGCUAACUCCGUGCCAGCAGCCGCGGUAAUAC
rnacentral:rRNA from 1 species